rfam:Medicago truncatula strain A17 chromosome 4, whole genome shotgun sequence.
AGCUGCGCGAUGAGCACAAAGCGAACUAUUCUUUCGCCUUUUACUAAAGAAUACCGUGUGAGCGUCGCUUAAAGCAGCAUACGAUAAUUUUUUAAAGGAAACCUUCAAAUGGAGGAU